rnacentral:tRNA from 1 species
GCCGCUUUAGCUCAGUCGGUAGAGCGUUUCACUCGUAAUGAAAAGGUCAUCGGUUCGAUUCCGAUAAGCGGCUCCA